CAUUUUUUUGUUGGGUAUCUCUGUUUAACUUUGGUUUCUUUUGUGGGUUUUAAUGGGAGGAUCUUCCCCUUUGCCAUAGCUGAUUAUGG